UCCUACGGGGGGCAGCAGUGAGGAAUAUUGGUCAAUGGGAGAGAUCCUGAACCAGCCAAGCCGCGUGAGGGAAGACGGCCCUAUGGGUUGUAAACCUCUUUUGUCGGAGAACAAAACCCGGGACGUGUCCCGGACUGCGUGUAUCCGAAGAAAAAGCAUCGGCUAACUCCGUGCCAGCAGCCGCGGUAAUACGGAGGAUGCGAGCGUUAUCCGGAUUUACUGGGUGUAAAGGGAGCGCAGGCGGCACGGCAAGCCUGAUGUGAAAGCCCGCGGCCCAACCGCGGGACUGCAUUGGGAACUACCGG
rnacentral:rRNA from 1 species